rnacentral:rRNA from 1 species
GACAGAGGAUGCAAGCGUUGUCCGGAUUUAUUGGGCGUAAAGAGCGUGUAGGCGGCCUGAAAGGUCAGCUGUGAAAACUCGAGGCUCAACCUCGAGACGUCGGUUGAAACCAUCUGGCUAGAGUCCGGAAGAGGAGAGUGGAAUUCCUGGUGUAGCGGUGGAAUGCGCAGAUAUCAGGAAGAACACCCGUGGCGAAGGCGGCUCUCUGGAACGCAACUGACGCUGAGACGCGAAAGCGUGGGGAGCAAACAGG